UCUGUUGGCCUGUCUUGACUCCCCUUGACUGAACUGCAUAAGGACAGCAGUGGAUUUUAAGUUUCCUGCUGAGCUGAAGGAAGGUCUGCUCUCACAGCAAGUGUCUGCUUCUCUCCUGCGCACUAGGAGGGCUGCUCAGAUUGGAGUUUGGAAGUGAAUGAUGAAAGUUUGGCCAAAAGCCUGAAAAGGUAGAAAAGACUGCUAAACUGCAGUGGAAAUCCUAGGUGCCAGGCAGAGAGCCUCUGGAAUGUCUUGUUCACAUCUCCGCUCACAAUCUCACAGUAUCUCUCACUUACAGAACUUGAAGAAAAAUUAUUCAAAAUCUGAAAAGCUGGAAGAUCCAAGGUACAAAUCAAAGCAGACUGCAACCUGUAUUUUGUUAGCUGAGCUUCACAACUACAGAGGUCUAUGUCAUUGCUGACCAUUCUCUAUAUACAUCACCUUUCCAUGAGAGCCAAUCCUGAGUUUAAAGCAACAAGCGCUUCUGUAAAUGGUGCAUCUGAAGCAAGUGGAACCAGUUUCAUCAUGCAAUAACAGCUAAAAGACAUGACAACAUUUCAGGCACAAAUCAAAAUGUUAGCAGAAAUGAAACGAGAAAACAAACUCUACUGAAAUUGGAAUUUUCCUCUGCAGAAGACAGACAAGGCAGGCUGCAGCAAUGCUGAGGAACCAGCUGGCUCACAGGGAAACAUUUUGCCUAAGCAAAACUGUCAAGAGGACUCGAAAGGACAUGCAGUAACUUGUGGUCUUAUUUUAAAUCCUUUAAAAGUUAAUUUAAACCCACUUUUCAAGCAUACAGCGGGACACAGUAUUUCAAUCAGUUUCCUAUAGCAUCCAAAAUAUUUUUUCUUGUAGCAAUGGAGUCGAGUGAUUGUUACUCUCUGGAAUAACACAAUCAACAAAAAUUUCCAUUCAUGAAUCACUUUAUGCAGAGCUGUCCUGUACUAUUUUCCUGAUGAGGAGGGAGAGCACAUAUCUGGAGUGAGCCUACUUUCAGUGGAAGGAAAACUUUGCACACUUUGUAUCAGACACUUGGCAAUUGCAGUUCCUACCCUAAUAAGUUACAUUAAUUCCCCAAUUACCCGAACACCUGAAAUAUUCAACCACUGCUGGAGAAAAGAAGGUGAGGACAAGAAUUGCAUUACUUCUGGUUUAUAUCCUUUCAUCCCAAAGACAUAAGAAACAGAAAUUUCAUCUUCUUGCCUAAUCACAAACUCCACUUAUCACUAAAAGAAACCUUGCUAUAUGGACAAAUUAUUUUCUGAUUAUGAAUUUACCGGGCUGCAGAUGCCUAGAAAAUCCUGCAUCCACUACAUCCACACUAAGCCUGAAGUCCUUCAACCUCAUCUAAGACAACAGAGUGCCCUCUGCAGGUUUUCCUCCCAUAUUACAUCUCCAGAACGUAAGAGUAUCUCUCACAAUGUAUAAACAAAAUCGAUUUUUGAAGUAAAAUUCUGUCUACUAACCUUUGAAAUAACACUAACUUAUGUAAGCUUAAAGGAAUAAAUAAAGUAAAUGGAAAUAGUA